CGCAAUCAUGCGACGCGUCGACCCCAGCCACCGCGCGUGCCGGAAGCUACAUCCAUCGCCCCUCCACUCCAACCAUCACCUCGACAACUGGCGCAACAUUUCCUCUGCUCCGGCACGACCUUCCCCCAUCCGGCGUGACCUUCCCUCCCCACCGGCGUGGACUGCCAUCUGCUCUGGUGUGCCCUCCCGGUCCUCCACAGCCCCAUCCCCAUCCUCCCUCGAACAUCUUCCUCCCGCCACCUAUGCCAUCUUCGUCCUUCCUCCCGCCGUUCAACUACAGCAACUCGCACCAUUCAACUAAAUCACCUAAUGCCUCCCAUCUCUAAUUUCUCCUCAGCCAGCAGCGGAAACGCCGGCAACCGAGCCAUCUCCUCUAGAUGCUCUGUGUGCAGCCGCUGGCUUCUCGCAUGCCAUCGAUGUGCCUUCUUCCUCCUGUGCACGAUGGACUUCCUCCCGCGCAUCCUGUGACCUUCUUACUCCCGUGCGGCUGCUAGCUAGCACUUGCAAUCUCGCCGACCCAUUGUCCGAUGCCGCUUCAGAUCCCUUUGGUACCGUUGCUUGAGAGCCCUGUGGUGUUGCUGCAAUUGCUUCAAAUUUUGACUUGUGCUACUACAUGUCUACUGGUUCCUUCCUCCAUCUGAUGUCGCUCAUGCUGUUGUUGUUCAACAUCACGCCGUUGUAGAGGGUACAUGGCAGGUCGAGUUGAUUUCUCAUGGUCGUUCAAAUAGAAAACUAAAGUCUGGGUGUUGCUAGGUACAUUCAGAGUAAGACGUUUACAUUUUUCUUCAGGAAGACAUUUGUAAGUCUGAACAUCGUGUUCCUUUUUCUUCAGGAAGACAUUUGCUUUAAAAAGAACUACAUCUCGUCAGAUCACUUAUAAAAUAAGAUGAGUGCACUAACAUAUGUAGGCCUCGGAUGCAUCCAUGUGGAAUUGUAUGAAAAAAGGAAGGAACUGUCUAGGUGGAUGAGAAGUUCAAGUUGAAAUCUCCCCUACACACACUUUGAUUUUUAUUUCCAUGUAUUCAGUUUUUAGAUGUUCUACAGUCUCUGAACAAAAUCUGUUCUUUCAUCCACAAAACUUGUUUACAGUCCUGGAUCAGUAAUCACACAUUAAUUUUUACUAUUUCUGCAUUACACAGAAAAUGAAGGUGCCCUCCUAGCCAUGGUGAAAUCUUCCCCAUCCCUGAUGAACAGCGGCAACCUCGAUUUACGACUCGCAGUUUGCAAUCGUCGCAUGACCGCAUAUACAUUGCAGUCGCCCCUACCCGUGCGCCACUGCUGUAACCUGCACCCUGCAAAAAAAAUGCAAGUUCAAAUUCAGAUAAACAAGAAGUUAAAAAGUUUGCCUACAGGGACAACCAUGCUGAUGGUGAUUGAAGAACAAUUCUGAAUUAUUAUUAUUGAGCCUGAAGGCCACGUUUUAUGCACGAUGUGGCAGGAUUCUAGGGAUUGUUUUGAGGCGGUCGAUGGCUUUUGAGAGAUGUGUUCAUACUUACAAGUUUGAAGGGGUUCAAAGCUCAUUUAUACAAGGAGGAAUGGCAAUUUGGUUGCACAUCUGUUUGCGAAAAAGAGCACUAAAACUAGAUGUACUUUCUAUUUCUUUAUUUGUAACCCCCUACCUACCUGAUUGAGACUAUUCAAUUAGAGUUAGUUUUUCCUCAAUAAUGAAGUGGCAAGAAUUAGUUUUUAA